rnacentral:rRNA from 1 species
GAUGAACGCUGGCGGCGUGCCUAAUACAUGCAAGUCGAACGAUGAACCCGGAGCUUGCUCCGGUGGAUUAGUGGCGAACGGGUGAGUAACACGUGAGUAACCUGCCCUUGACUCUGGGAUAACUGCGGGAAACUGUAGCUAAUACCGGAUACGACCCUCGGCGGCAUCGCCAGGGGGUGGAAAGAAUUUCGGUCAAGGAUGGACUCGCGGCCUAUCAGCUAGUUGGUGAGGUAACGGCUCACCAAGGCGACGACGGGUAGCUGGCCGGGGAGGGUGACCGGCCACACUGGGACUGAGACACGGCCCAGACUCCUACGGGAGGCAGCAGUGGGGAAUAUUGCACAAGGGGCGCAAGCCUGAUGCAGCAACGCCGCGUGAGGGAUGACGGCCUGCGGGUUGUAAACCUCUUUUAGUAGGGAAGAAGCGAAAGUGACGGUACCUGCAGAAAAAGCACCGGCUAACUACGUGCCAGCCGCCGCCGUAA